rnacentral:tRNA from 2 species
GGGCCGGUAGCUCAGUCGGUAGAGCAUUUGACUUUUAAUCAAAGGGUCCUGGGUUCGAGCCCCAGCCGGCUCACCA